CACGGACGGAGUCUCCUCGGCUUCAUCGCCGAUCUCCUCUUCUUCGCCUUCUUUAUCUCGGUUCAAACCGAGAAGCUCCAGAGCCUUGCUUCCUGAAUCAACUGCCGUCACUGUUGACAAAAGAAAGCAAGGAAAUUGGGAUGAAAGGCAACUGUUUGGGCGUCUGACGACCUUUCCAUUCAAGCUAAGGCUACUGUUUUAAGGAUUCCCCGUGCACGUGCCCGACAUACUUAGUGGAAUUUGCUUGGCUAUUAUUAUUGCAAAAACAUAAAAUGGAAAGUGGAAGGCCGAAGAUUGCAAACUUUAAGAAUAAGAUAGGAGGCCUACUCUAUGUUUGGUUCGAUAUGAUUCUAAGGAUCAGAUGAGAAAUCUCGAUGACAUAUUUGCCAGAUGUACGAGUUUAAACUAUAAAAUAAGUCAUAAUCCAAAAUAGUAUCGAACGUGAUACAUGUAACCUUUUCGGUUAAAUUCGCGUUUGAUUUUAAA